GAGCGUGUAGCUCAGUGGUAGAGCAUUUGCCUUUUAAGCAAAGGGUCGAUGGUUCGAUACCAUCCACGCUCACAA
rnacentral:tRNA from 1 species